UACGUAGGGUGCGAGCGUUGUCCGGAAUUAUUGGGCGUAAAGAGCUUGUAGGCGGUCUGUCGCGUCUGCUGUGAAAAUCCGGGGCUCAACCCCGGACUUGCAGUGGAUACGGGCAUCACUGGAGUUCGGCAGGGGAGACUGGAAUUCCUGGUGUAGCGGUGAAAUGCGCAGAUAUCAGGAGGAACACCGGUGGCGAAGGCGGGUCUCUGGGCCGAUACUGACGCUGAGGAGCGAAAGCGUGGGGAGCGAACAGG
rnacentral:rRNA from 1 species